rnacentral:rRNA from 1 species
GACGAACGCUGGCGGCGUGCUUAACACAUGCAAGUCGAACGGAAAGGCCCUGCUUUUGUGGGGUGCUCGAGUGGCGAACGGGUGAGUAACACGUGAGUAACCUGCCCUUGACUUUGGGAUAACUUCAGGAAACUGGGGCUAAUACCGGAUAGGAGCUCCUGCUGCAUGGUGGGGGUUGGAAAGUUUCGGCGGUUGGGGAUGGACUCGCGGCUUAUCAGCUUGUUGGUGGGGUAGUGGCUUACCAAGGCUUUGACGGGUAGCCGGCCUGAGAGGGUGGCCGGCCACAUUGGGACUGAGAGACGGCCCAGAAUCCUACGGGAGGCAGCAGUGGGGAAUAUUGCACAAUGGGCGGAAGCCUGAUGCAGCAACGCCGCGUGCGGGAUGACGGCCUUCGGGUUGUAAACCGCUUUCGCCUGUGACGAAGCGUGAGUGACGGUAAUGGGUAAAGAAGCACCGGCUAACUACGUG